AUUGAACGCUGGCGGCAUGCUUUACACAUGCCAGUCGAACGGUAACAGGCCGCAAGGUGCUGACGAGUGGCGAACGGGUGAGUAAUGCAUCGGAACGUGCCCAGUCGUGGGGGAUAACUACUCGAAAGAGUAGCUAAUACCGCAUACGAUCUAUGGAUGAAAGCGGGGGACCGUAAGGCCUCGCGCGAUUGGAGCGGCCGAUGUCAGAUUAGGUAGUUGGUGGGGUAAAGGCUCACCAAGCCAACGAUCUGUGGCUGGUCUGAGAGGACGACCAGCCACACUGGGACUGAGACACGGCCCAGACUCCUACGGGAGGCAGCAGUGGGGAAUUUUGGACAAUGGGCGCAAGCCUGAUCCAGCAAUGCCGCGUGCAGGAAGAAGGCCUUCGGGUUGUAAACUGCUUUUGUACGGAACGAAACGGCUCUGGUUAAUACCCGGGGCUAAUGACGGUACCGUAAGAAUAAGCACCGGCUAACUACGUG
rnacentral:rRNA from 1 species